rnacentral:rRNA from 1 species
UACGGGGGGGGCAAGCGUUGUUCGGAAUUACUGGGCGUAAAGGGCUUGUAGGGGGCCAACUAAGUCAGACGUGAAAUCCCUCGGCUUAACCGGGGAACUGCGUCUGAUACUGGAUGGCUUGAGUGUGGGAGAGGGAUGAGGAAUUCCAGGUGUAGCGGUGAAAUGCGUAGAUAUCUGGAGGAACACCGGUGGCGAAGGCGGCAUCCUGGACCAACACUGACGCUGAGUGAGCGAAAGCCAGGGGAGCAAACGGG